AUUUUAAGUUGCCAGCACAGAAGCGUACCCCCGUUAUAAAACGAGACUUGUGGGAUGAAAUACAUAAUAAUCUUGGUUUUGAAAAUGCAGCAUGGAUGAAAUCUAGAUGGACUUACCUUAGAGAUUGUUAUACAAAAG